GACGAACGCUGGCGGCGUGCUUAACACAUGCAAGUCGAACGGAGUGGCGAACGGGCGAGUAACACGUGGGUGACCUGCCCUGCACUUCGGGAUAAGCCUGGGUAACUGGGUCUAAUACCGGAUAGUGUGGGAUGGGCCCGGGGCCAAUCAGCUUGUUGGUGGGGUAAUGGACUACCAAGGCGGCGACGGGUAGCCGGCCUGGGAGGGUGGACGGCCACAUUGGGCCUGAGACACGGACCAGACGCCUACGGGAGGCAGCGGGGGGGAAUAUUGCACAAUGGGCGGAAGCGUGAUGCAGCGGCGCCGGGUGGGGGAAGACGGCCUUCGGGUUGUAAACGGCUUUCACCAUCGACGCGGUAGAUGGAGAAGAAGCACCGGCUAACUACGUGCCAGCAGCCGCGGUAAUUC
rnacentral:rRNA from 1 species